rnacentral:misc_RNA from 1 species
GGUCCGCCGGCCAGUACUCCUCUGCAUCGGGACCCGAAACGGGAGCAGAAGAGGCUGCGCGAACGGGCCCAAGCCCUGGCAACUAGCGGCGAUGGUGCGGAUAUGCAGGCUCCGCCCACGCCCAAAACAGAGCUCCUGGAGCAAAGAAACAAAGAACUGCUGGGACUACGUGCCCUCCUAGAAACGGAAAGAUACGAGAAGAAUGUGCUCGAGGAGCAGAUCAUGGAGAACGAGCAUCUCAUUAACUCAUUAGCCAAAGAGAACAAGGUGAAGAAGAUACAGCUGGCCAAGCUGAAGGCAGACCGGAACGAUGAGGAGGACGGGGAUAUGCGCAACUAUGUCCCGAAUGAGUUCGAUCAUCUGAAACGGAGUCUGAUGAAGGAGAUCACCCAGAAGGAGGCCCUAAUUGCGGAGACAUCGGAUAAGCUGCAGGAUUUGCGAACCGAAAAGGCCGAGGUGGACAACAAGCUGAAAAUGGCAUCCGAGCAAGUGGUGGUGUGCAUGGACCGGAUCCGCGAACUGGAGCUGCGGGCGGAGGAGGCCAACCAGCUGCUGGCCGCGAAGAACAGCACGAUCAGUGCCAUGGAGCGUGACAAGGAGGAACUGGAGCAGUGUCUGCAGGAGGCGCGUGAGGAGCUCCACAAUCGUCGUGAAGUCCUCAACGCCUCCUCAGAUCUGCUGAAUUGCUCCUUGUCGCCGAACACCACGCCGGAGAAUCUGGCCAGCUCGGUCAUAGACAAGCAGCUGCGGGAGCGAGAGCUGGAGAAUACCGAGCUGAGGGACGAGAUCCAAAAGAUGCAGAAGACCCUGCAGAAGCUAACCGAAGAUGUGGAGGAUACUCUGAAGCAGUUCUCCCUGAAGGAGGUCCAACCCGGUGGCUCCUUUGCCUCCCGCGUUCGAAGCGCCUUUGGCAUCAUGGAGACCGGCUAUGAGGAGGAGCUGGCCAAGGUCAAGGACAUGAAGGAGCAGAUGGAAGCGCAGAGCCAGAUGCAGGAGAAGCUAUUCGAGAGCAACAAGGCGAUGACUCUCCUCAUCGAGGAGCAGAAGUCGGAAAUAGGCAAGCUGAAGGGCCAGAACUCGGACUUGGAGAGGUCUUCGGCGGAAAUGAUUCAGAAAUACGAGAAGGAGCUGCAGGCCGUCAAGGAGCACUGCGAGCGGGAGCUGCAGGAGCAGAAGCACUGCCACGAGGCGAUCCAGCGGCACGACAAGGAGCUCAGGGAGAAGCUGGCGGAGGCGGACGACCACCUCGAGAAGAUGAAGCAGCAGCUGGUGGAGAAGGAGGAGCAGUUCGCCCAACUGGGCAGGAACCUGAAAGUGAUUUGCGAGAAGAACAAGGACCUGGAGUGUCGGGCUGCCCGGCUGCACAACCAACAGGAGCUGGUGCGGGCCAAGUACCUCCAAUGUCAGCAGCAACUGGUGGCCAAGACCACCGACAUCAGUCAGCUGGCCGAUAACCUGGACACCGCCGACUGGGACAGUACACUGGCCCGCAUCGACGAGGUGAUCGAAGCCAGGAACCGCUUGAUAGCCGAGAACAGUGCCCUGCAAUCGGAGCUUCUCCAGAACCGGGAACGCAUCCAAACGGCAGAGCAGCGCCUGAGCCAGUUCGAGGAGGUGGAACGUAGCCUGCAGGCGGAGAACACCGCUGUCAAGGAGCAGCACGCCGUUCUGAACGAGAUGCACACCACUAUGAACAUGGAGCACGUCGCCCUAAACGUGGAGCACGCCGCCGUGUCCAAGGAGCUCGCCGCUCUGAAGGAGGAGCUGCAAGAGGCCAAUGAACGCUAUGCGACGAUGCGUCAGCGCAACCACGACUUCAUCAACCAGGUCAACGAAGAUCUCACCCGGCGGGAGCUGGCCCUGAAGCAGGAGUUCCGCGACCAGGAGGACGAGAUGGCCAAGCGCUUGCGUCGGGCCUUCCAGCGGGCGGACGACUUCUUGCAUCGCAUCACGGACCUGGUGACCAUCGACCUGCCACCCCGCACGGAUCGCUCCACUUUGGACUCUCUAGCUGCCGAGGAGGAGGUCUGGAGCUCGGAGCUGACCCAGGCAGAGAACCUGCUAACGGCGGAGAUCUGCGAGCGGUCCAAGCAGUUGGCCGAUCUGCGGACGGAGACGGAUCAGCUGGCUCGGGAUCAGGAGAAGCGGAUGGAGCUCAUCGGUUCGCUGAACAACUGCAUCAAGGAGCUGCGCUCCUCCCUGGAGCAGAAGCAGCGGGAAGUGGCCGAGGCACAGGCCCAGCUGGCCACUGCCGUUCUGACGGAUGAGGAUUCGUUGGCGGCUCUGAAGUCGCGACUGGACCUGGACUCGUCGGACGACGUCAUCGGCAACUGCCUGAUCCACAUCCAGCAGAUGGACGACAGUCGUCAGUUCCUGGAGGCGGACAACGAGCGCCUGACCCGAGCCAGGCACAAGCUGGAGGAGGAAGUGCAGCAACUGCACGACCAGAUCGCCGCCGACCAGACCGCUCACAUAAUGAAGCGCCUGAACGGCUCCAUCCAGAAUCUGGAGCAGGUGAACGAGAAGCUCAGCACCGACUACGCCAAGCUGCAGCUCCUCCACUCCGACAUGGAGCACUCCCUCACCCAGGCCGAAUUGAAGGUGGAGUCCAUGACCACCCAUCUGACGAACACCAGGGACAAGAUUGCCAAGCUGGAGGAAGGCAAUGGGCUGAAGGCUCUGCGCAUCACCGAGCUGGAGAAGCAGCUGAAGGACCUGGUCAUUGAGGUCAAGAUAAGGGAGGCCAAGGCGGUCAAGAUGGAGGAUCUGUAUGUUAUGAAGAUGAAGUCCGUGAAGGACGACCUGCAGGAGCAGGUGCGGGAGAAGGUGACCGCGCUGGAGGAGCAUCAUAAGAUGAAGAUGAAGUCUGCCGAGCUGGAGAAGGAGGUUCAGAUUAAGGAGCUGGAGGUUCAGCUGUCGGAGCAGCAAGAGAAGCUCUCGGAGAAGCAGCAGAAGCUAUCGGAGCAGCAGGAGAAGCUAUCGGAGCAGGAGGAGAAGCUGUCGGAGAAGGUGCAGAAGUUAUCCGAGCAGGAAACGAAGCUAUCCGAGCAGGAACAGAAGCUAUCGGAGCAGGAACAGAAGCUAUCCCAGCAGGAGAAGAAAAUCUCGGAGCAAGAGGAGCAGCUCAUCCGCAAGGAGGAGAAGCAUCUCGAAGAGAUCAAGAACAUGAAGGCCGACUGUUCCGGUUCGAUCCACCAGCUGGAGAAGGAGCACUGGAAGCAGGUGCAGGGCCUGCAGGAGGAGCUGGCCGAGACGAACCGCGAGAUGUGCAAACAGUUGUCGGAUCAUGCCCAGGAGAUGCGCCAGCUCCAGCAGAAGGCAGUGGACAUCCAUCGCCUGGAGGAGCUGAAGACCGCCAAUGCCGAGAUGGUGGCAGAACGGAAGGACAUGGAGGUGCAGCUGAAGCAGCUGGAGGAGGAGAUGAAGCGGGAGAAGCAGCUGGCCCAGCAGGAGAUCGACCAGUUGAAGGCCAGGCUGCGGGAGUCCGAGGAGCAAAUGGAUGCUCUGGUGCUGGACCUGGAGCAGUCGAAGCGCCUGGCCAAGGAGGAGAGCGAGAGGCUGGCCCAGGAGAUCCAGAAGCAGGCCGCGGAGCUUAAGGAAGCCACCAAGCAGGCCAAGCUGGCCCAGGAGGAGCUAGUGAUGACCAAGCUGGUACUCCAGGAGCAAGGGGCAUCCCGGAAGGAGGAGGUCGAUGGACUGCUAGCCGAGCUGGUGGAGCUUCGAGAGAAGGCGCAGGAGGAGGAGGACUCGAAGGACGCUGAAAAGCUGGAGAUCGAGGCUCUCAAGGAGGCCCUGUCCCUCUCCAAGGAUCAGGCCAAGGAGGAGAUCGCCAAGUUCAAGGAGCAGCAGGCUCAAGCCCACAGCCAUGCCGCGGACGCCAAGAACCGGGAGCACCAUCUGGCCCAGCGGGAGAUCGGCAAGCUGACCAAGCAACUGAGCCAGGCCCACAGCCGGUUGGAGGAAGCGAAGAGCCAGGAGCAGGAGAAGAUCGCCGCGCUCCAGCAGGAACUGGCCGAAACCCAGGAGGCCACCAAGGAGAAGAUCGCCGCGCUUCAGCAGGAACUGGCCGAAACCCAGGAGGCCACCAAGGAGAAGAUCGAGGAGGUCAGGAAGCAGGCCACCAUGAGCGAGGAGCACCAGAAGGCGCUGCAAGAGAUCGAGGUUCUCAGAGAGAAACUGUCCCACGCCCUGGCCGAUAUGGAGAAGCAAGUGAAGGCGCUAACCGAGGCCAGGAAGAAUGAGGAGCAGACAUUCCAGGAGGAGAAGGAGCGGCUCAAGGAGGAGCUGGCCAAGGCCGAGGAGCUGGUCAGAAAGGCGGAGAACUGCACCCAGCAGGAGCGACAGCAGGCCCAGGAGGAGAUCCUGACACUGAAGGAGCAGCUGUGCGCCGCCCUGAAGGAGAACGGGAACGAGAAGGCCAAGGGCCUGGAGGAGAUCGAGCGGCUCACAGGGCAGCUGAGGGAGGCCCAGCAGAGUGUCCAGGAGCAGAUGAGGCUACUGGCCGAGACGAAGAGCCAGACCGAGCAGCUGGCGAAGGCGGCCAGCGAGAACUUCGAGGAGCAGCUGCGCCUCGAGAGCCGGAAGCUGGAGGAGGAGCGUCUGAACUCCAACCAGCUGAGCGCCGAUCUUCGGAAGCAGGAGCAGGAGCUGCGACGCCUCCGGGGCCAGCUCACCACGCAGACGACGCGCGUCGAGAAGGACUCUGUGGCCCUCGAGGAGUCCCAGGCGGAGGCUAAGCGGUUGCAGGAGGAACUCGGCCAGGCCAAGGCCGUCCAGGAGGAGCAGUCGGCGAUGAUAGAGAUGUUGAAGCGCGAUAAGGAGGCAGUGCUGCGGGAAAUUCACUUGGUAAAGGAGCGAACCCAAGGGGCGGAUCGCGAACAUCAAGUGGCGGUGGCUACACUUGAGGAUCAGUUGGAGACACUUGAGAAGCUUCGCGUCCAGGCCGAGAUCGAGCGAUCCGCCGCCCAUGAACGCAUUACCAAGCUGGAGGCUAUGCGCGAGUCCCAGGAGCGUGAGGUGCGCGACCUCAACGCCCAGUUGGCGGAUGCCGAGCAGGAGAAGGUGCGCCUCAACCUGGAGAUCGGUGGCCUCAACUCUGAGAUCGGCCAGUGCCGCCAGACUCUCGCCAAGCAGGCCGAUGACAUCGUCGUCCUCCAGCAGAGCAUCGAGACCGUCCAGCUGGAGCGCCAACGCGAACGGGAGCAGCUGGCCCAGCUCCAGGAGAGGCUCAACGAGGUGCAGCAGGAGCUGGAUGGCAAUCGACUCGUCCACGAUGCCCUGCACUUCGAGCUGGAGGAGAAGACCCGGGAACUGGAGCAGGAGCAGGGCGAGUGCACGGAGCGUGUCCAGCGCUAUGUCUGCCGCGUCGAGGAGCUGGAACGAGAGCUCGCCGACAGCCAGAACCAGGUGCAGAUGCUGCAGAACCGCAACCCCAGUCCCACCGCCGAUCUGGGCGCCACCUACAGCAAGUCGGAUGCCCCACCGGCGGAUGCCGAUGCCCAGGCCCAGGGUGAUCUGCUGCGACAGAGCGAGGCGAGGAACAACAAGCUGGAGCUGGACUGCCAGAUCCUGCAGGCCAAGUACCGGGAGGCCAAGGAGGAGAUCCAACGAUGCGAGCAGAAGAUCAAGGACCAGCGCCUGGAGAUGGAGGGCAAGCUGGACAAGAUGAAGAACAAGAUGCGAUCCCUGUACACGGCGGAAGUGACUCGCAUGAAGGAGAAGCAGGAGCGGGAUGCGGCAGGAAAUAAGGCGGAGCUGGAGGCUCUCACAGCGCAGAAUGCAAAGUAUGAGGAACACACUCGAAAGCUAUCGAACCAAAUUGUCCGCCUUAACGAGAAGAUCCUGGAACAGCAGAAGCAACACGCCAUCACCAGCACCAAACUGAGACACCUACAGAUGCAGCCAGUCGGCGAGCCACUCAAGCCGACGCCACCAACAGCCUCCAUCGGCUCCACCGCGGCGAGCAGCGACGACUGGCAGCCCUUCAAGCGACCCAGUGCCCCGUCCUCGAACCUGGCCAUGGAGGAUGAGGAGGGCGAGGUCUUCAACAACACCUAUCUGACGGAUCUCAAGCUUGGCCGUGUUCCAGAUGUGAUAACGGCCGAGGAGCUCAACUAUCGCAACUCCCUGCAGCCGCCGCAUCUGAAGAGCGCCUAUGCGGCGCAGUACGAUCUGGGCAGUCAUGACGAGGAAUUUAAAGUAAGCUCCAAAGGAACUCCACCCAGUUCCAGCAGUAGCAGCAGCACUAGCAGCGCCAGCACCAGCACAAGCACAACAAGAAGCAACACUCCAAGCAACAAGAGCAGGACAAUGGGUGGUGGUACUCCCUUGAAAGGACAAGCGGCCGCGGCUCGGGCCCAACUGGCUCGCAUGUGGCACAGACGCCGCCAGUAGCCUGGCUACUGGUAGUCAGUGUUCCGUAUCUCCCACAUCCACCAUCCCACCAAUCUUAACUUUAAAUUUAAGCACCGAGACGGACCGCACAGCCUGGACGACAGCAUGAGCGCCCUGCUGAGCUCCUCGACGAGCCAUGGCACGAGGAAGAAGUCGAUGGGC